UAUUCUUAAUCUUUAACUAUAUUAACUAUACAAAAAAAUAAUUAUAUGCUGAAAGAAGUAUUUUUGUGGUAGAGCUUUGGACUCUUCACCUAAUCCAGUGUUGUGAUGGGCUGUUGUAUCCUUAAGGGGACAAGUUAAGAGUGAUACUAUUGAAUUGGUGGAAGUUAUAUGACAGUGAACUUAAAUCUCCUUAAAGAGAGCGACAUAUCUCACUACAAAAAAAUUGUUAAAUUAUGGCGGUUU
rnacentral:lncRNA from 1 species